GACACCCGCGCGCUGUGGACACUCGGACGCCUACACAGAGCAAUCCCGCCGUGCUACGCGUGGUGGGAGGUCGGGAGGCUUGCCGAUGUGGCUACGCGAGCGCAUGAGUAGCUUUGGACCCGUGUCUGCCGGUAGAUCCCCCGUCUUCUGCGGCCGACUACGGCGCCGUGUCUCAAUGCUGAUGUUGCCUUUAAGUGCUUGCGUGCUGGUACCCGACCUACGGGAGUGGUGCUUCUAACACGUUCGCCUCGCGGUGGACACCUUGGGUGUGCCGCUGCGGCCUAACGGGCUGGGCGUUUCCUCGUGGUCRGCAUCCUAGUGCCCGGUKCUACCAAGGCAGCCUCGCUCAGCUGUUGGUCUCGGAUGUGCUCACGAUAAAGAGUCUUGGCCCUUUUGGUUGCCACGACCCGACCCUAAGCUGCUCUCCGAAUUUGAGAACAACCGUGAACAGGUGUUGCCUCUACCUCUCCACAGUUAGUGGUAGGAUAGUAACAUUCUGCGCGAUCCUCAAUCAAGUAGGAUGAGCUUAGCCCGCUCAAUCGUGACGGCUCGGCCGUGCCUUGGCCUUGACACGCAAGUGGAAGGGCGGACAAAGACCGACGCUGGACGUCAACGAGGACGUGC
rnacentral:misc_RNA from 1 species